GAGGGUAUAGCUCAGUGGUAGAGUGACUUCUUGGCAUGUAUGAGGUCCUGGGUUCAAUCCCCAGUACCUCCA
rnacentral:tRNA from 1 species